UGAGAGAAAAGACCAGAGCACUGGUCAGCUUUGGAUCUAGUGGUGCAGAAAUUGAACAUGCAAAUCUGAUGCACUGUUGUUGGAAUAUCUCACUUUUAAAUUCCACAAGUCCCCCCCUUUUUUUAUUGCCACUGGGGUUAUUGCUGACGCUGGGUGUCAGCACUGCAAAUCCUCCAUUGCUCCCAGGGACCAUUCACCCCCCUUUUUUUUCCUUUCUUUCUUUCUUUCUUUCUUUCUUUCUUUCUUUCUUUCUUUCUCUCUCUCUCUUUCUCUCUUUCUUCCUUCCUUUCUAGUUUUUAUCAGGUAGGACAGAGAGAAACUUCCAGCGCCAUCCACUUUGUCCCACGUAACGCAAUGCCAUCUUUUUAGUGACCAAGUAGUGUUCCAUUGAAUAGAUUGCCCCUAAGUUCUUUAUCCAGCCAUGUGCGGAUGGCUAUUUAGGUUAGUUCUAUAGAGAAACCAUAAUUUGAACAAUAGAUUGAUGACAGUUCUGGUGUCUUUAAAAAUUGAUGUCUUCAAUGAAAAUCCUCAGUGGGUAUUUGCCAAAUGACAAGAUAUAUGCACAUACACUGGAAAGAUGGUCAUAAAAUAGAUAAACUAUCAUUCCAAGUUAUGGAAGAAUGUUACAGACAAAACAAAAUCCACUACCCACAUGGUUUCAACAGCGGUACUCUUCACAUUCCAGUCAUACGAAGUCACAACCACCUUUUAAGCCAAAGCCAAUGGACACAUAAAGCUAAUCUUUGCUUAAUGCAUCUGAAGCAUCAGGUGAAGCCUAUCCUAGGCACCUACUUAUUUUAUAUCAUUUACUACUCAUAAAAAUGCCAUCAUUCCUAGCUCACUGAUGAGGAAAUUAAGAUACAGAGACAUUAAGAAACAUGCCCAAGGUUUUAGAACUAAAGCGGCAUUCAUAUCUACUAUGAAAAUGUAGGAUUUCCACAUACUUUUUCAUCUACUUUUCUCAGGAUCCAGUUCAAGUAUUUAUUAGAUGAUCAAUAGGUGUGAGGUAACGUAUUUCAUCAACUGCCUGCCCCUCUGAGGAGAAGAGCCCUUCAGACCAGAAAGCUAAUAACAGUAAGCACUAGAAGGUGCCUAUCACUUAUGUGUGACAAUCUGACGUCUCUGCUCAAACAUAAACAUCAAAAAGAGACUUUUCUUGACCACACAGCACAGUGACAUCCAUCUCUGUCACCCUCCUUGCCCUGACUAGUAUGUACACAUUGAUUCAUUUAUUCGUUGUCUGACCUCCCCACUAGAGUGUAAAUGCUGCCAGAACAGAAUCUUUGUUCACUCUUGUAUUAAUAGUGACUUGAACGUAGUUAGUACUUAAUAGAGAUGUUUCAAAGACUGGAGUGACAUUGAGCACCUGUUCUGUGUCAGGUGCGGUGCCAGAUGUCAGUCAGAGAGCAAAGAAGCACACUUGCUCAGCAAUGGGCCCGCGAGUAGAUGACUGGAUGGAACUAGAAUCGAAGAGAGUCUUAGACGCAGGCUUUUCUCUCCUCUCCUCCCUUCUGUUCAUCAAUAAAUCAAAAAGGAUGUUUAUC